AUUUUAACCUAUCCGUAGCAUAACUUCCCAGUGGGGCACACUGACGAGAAUAGUAGGAGUAUGGUUUGUUGGUGUUUAAUCCGGUGGUUGAGUAGAGUACCAAUCUUGAAGAAACCAUUUGAGUUAACCAAACUGGUGGAGAGAGUACUGGGUAAAGUGAAGGUUGUGAGGAUCACGAGAGGCGGGCUCAUCAGAAGGAACGUGCCUUAAUCGAUUUUCUAAAUUGCUAGUGUUGAUAAUUGAGAUGUGCAGGAGAGUGAGCCGGUCAAGGAUAGAUUCGGACAAAGCGGUAGAUUGUAUGACAAGCGACAGUUUAUUCAGAGUAAAGAUAUCUGGUACAGCGUGCACGGGCUCUUUCUAGUAACUCCGAGUGAGCUAGAAGAGAGAGAGCUAAUACAGUUUGUUUACAUGUUUUAUACAGCACAGAAAGUAGGUUGAGUCUUGAAGUCCUGGUUCUCUGGUUGGAUCAGGUCCAGGCGUAGCCUCUGCUGAUUGGCUCCUGCAGCCCAUGCUUCAGCCGUUGCUUAAUGUCCUUGUUGUUUUCCUGAGUCCAAGGGUCAGGCUUUGGCCGAUACUGCUGAUUUAAGGCUUUGUGGUCGAGCCAGUUCCUGUCUAUGUGCUGUGAGUUGAGACAUCAGCACAUUCGUGUAAGUUCAAUUGUGUGAUGCUUCCUGUUGAGCAAUGUGUAGUAGACAGCUACAGUUAAUAUGCAGAGGUUAAUGUGUUAUAGCUAAAGGCCUGGUUAUAACAUGCUCAGCUAAAUACU